rnacentral:rRNA from 1 species
AUUGAACGCUGGCGGCAGGCCUAACACAUGCAAGUCCAGCGGAUGAAGGGAGCUUGCUCCUGGAUUCAGCGGCGGACGGGUGAGUAAUGCCUAGGAAUCUGCCUGGUAGUGGGGGAUAACGUCCGGAAACGGGCGCUAAUACCGCAUACGUCCUGAGGGAGAAAGUGGGGGAUCUUCGGACCUCACGCUAUCAGAUGAGCCUAGGUCGGAUUAGCUAGUUGGUGGGGUAAAGGCCUACCAAGGCGACGAUCCGUAACUGGUCUGAGAGGAUGAUCAGUCACACUGGAACUGAGACACGGUCCAGACUCCUACGGGAGGCAGCAGUGGGGAAUAUUGGACAAUGGGCGAAAGCCUGAUCCAGCCAUGCCGCGUGUGUGAAGAAGGUCUUCGGAUUGUAAAGCACUUUAAGUUGGGAGGAAGGGCAGUAAAUUAAUACCUUGCUGUUUUGACGUUACCAACAGAAUAAGCACCGGCUAACUUCGUG